GUUAUCGUUUAUUUGAUAGUACCUUACUACUUGGAUAACCGUGGUAAUUCUAGAGCUAAUACAUGCUGAAAACCCCAACUUCGGGAGGGGUGUAUUUAUUAGAUAAAAAACCAACGCCCUUCGGGGCUUCUUGGUGAUUCAUGAUAACUUCACGGAUCGCAUGGCCUUGCGCCGGCGACGGUUCAUUCAAAUUUCUGCCCUAUCAACUUUCGAUGGUAAGGUAUUGGCUUACCAUGGUUUCAACGGGUAACGGGGAAUUAGGGUUCGAUUCCGGAGAGGGAGCCUGAGAAACGGCUACCACAUCCAAGGAAGGCAGCAGGCGCGCAAAUUACCCAAUCCCGACACGGGGAGGUAGUGACAAUAAAUACUGAUACAGGGCUCUUUUGGGUCUUGUAAUUGGAAUGAGUACAAUUUAAACCUCUCAACGAGGAACAAUUGGAGGGCAAGUCUGGUGCCAGCAGCCGCGGUAAUUCCAGCUCCAAUAGCGUAUAUUAAAGUUGUUGCAGUUAAAAAGCUCGUAGUUGAAACUUGG
rnacentral:rRNA from 1 species